AAAUUGAAGAGUUUGAUCAUGGCUCAGAUUGAACGCUGGCGGCAGGCCUAACACAUGCAAGUCGAACGGUAACAGGAAACAGCUUGCUGUUUC
rnacentral:rRNA from 3 species